GAUGAACGCUGGCGGCGUGCCUAAUACAUGCAAGUCGAGCGAACAGACGAGAGUGCUUGCACUCUCUGACGUUAGCGGCGGACGGGUGAGUAACACGUGGGUAACCUACCUAUAAGACUGGGAUAACUUUGGGAAACCGGAGCUAAUACCGGAUAAUAUUUAGCUUCGCAUGAAGCAAUAGUGACAGACGGUUCUGCUGUCACUUAUAGAUGGACCCGCGGUGUAUUAGCUAGUUGGUGGGGUAACGGCUCACCAAGGCAACGAUACAUAGCCGACCUGAGAGGAUGAUCGGCCACACUGGAACUGAGACACGGCCCAGACUCCUACGGGAGGCAGCAGUAGGGAAUCUUCCGCAAUGGGCGAAAGUCUGACGGAGCAAUGCCGCGUGAGUGAAGAAGGUUUUCGGAUCGUAAAACUCUGUUGUAAGGGAAGAACAAGUACGUUAUUAACUGAACGUACCUUGACGGUACCUUACCAGAAAGCCACGGCUAACUACGUG
rnacentral:rRNA from 1 species